rnacentral:rRNA from 1 species
CCCUGUAGCAGGGGAGAAAGCUUGCUUUCUCCGCUGACGAGCGGCGGACGGGUGAGUAAUGUCUGGGGAUCUGCCUGAUGGAGGGGGAUAACUACUGGAAACGGUAGCUAAUACCGCAUAACGUCGCAAGACCAAAGUGGGGGACCUUCGGGCCUCAUGCCAUCAGAUGAACCCAGAUGGGAUUAGCUAGUAGGUGGGGUAAUGGCUCACCUAGGCGACGAUCCCUAGCUGGUCUGAGAGGAUGACCAGCCACACUGGAACUGAGACACGGUCCAGACUCCUACGGGAGGCAGCAGUGGGGAAUAUUGCACAAUGGGCGCAAGCCUGAUGCAGCCAUGCCGCGUGUAUGAAGAAGGCCUUCGGGUUGUAAAGUACUUUCAGUAGGGAGGAAGGUGUGAGCGUUAAUUAGGCGUUCAGA